UGGCUCAGAAUCAACGCUGGCGGCGCGCCUAACACAUGCAAGUCGAACGAGAAAGUGGAGCAAUCCAUGAGUACAGUGGCGUACGGGUGAGUAACACGUGGGUAAUCUACCUCUUAGUGAGGAAUAACCCUGGGAAACCGGGGCUAAUACCGCAUAAGCCUGAGAAGGGAAAGCAGAAAUGCGCUGAGAGAGGAGCCCGCGGCCGAUUAGCUAGUUGGUGGGGUAAGAGCCCACCAAGGCAGAGAUCGGUAGCCGGCCUGAGAGGGCACACGGCCACACUGGCACUGAAACACGGGCCAGACUCCUACGGGAGGCAGCAGUGGGGAAUCUUGCACAAUGGGGGAAACCCUGAUGCAGCGACGCCGCGUGAGCGAUGAAGCCCCUCGGGGUGUAAAGCUCUUUCGGCAGGGAAGAUAGUGACGGUACCUGCAGAAGCAGCUGCGGCUAACUACGUGCCAGCAGCCGCGGUAAUACGUAGGCAGCAAGCGUUGUUCGGAGUUACUGGGCGUAAAGGGUGUGUAGGCGGUUCUUUAAGUUUGGUGUGAAAUCUCCCGGCUUAACCGGGAGGGUGCGCCGAAUACUGAGGGACUAGAGUACGGGAGAGGAAAGUGGAAUUCCUGGUGUAGCGGUGAAAUGCGUAGAUAUCAGGAGGAACACCGGUGGUGUAGACGGCUUUCUGGACCGUAACUGACGCUGAGACACGAAAGCGUGGGUAGCAAACAGGAUUAGAUACCCUGGUAGUCCACGCCCUAAACGAUGCAUAUUUGGUGUGGGCAGUUCAUUCUGUCUGUGCCGGAGCUAACGCGUUAAAUAUGCCGCCUGGGGAGUACAGUCGCAAGGCUGAAACUCAAAG
rnacentral:rRNA from 1 species